CUGGGGUCACAGUCAUGCAUUCAGCUUGCCUUGAUCUCUGGUGUUUGUGAAGCCUAUCCUAAGACUUCCCUGCGUCUAGACAUUUUGCAAGAUUUUCCUGCCAAUUGGCACCUAUGGUUUCAAUGUGAAUACAUGUGCCCUACCCUCAGCCUCGCACUUUUUAUUAAGGUUAAGCUUCCUACUUAAGUCUUCAGAAAACUGCUGGAGGAAGUGUCACUGGGGGCAGACCUUUUAUUCCAGCCCUAAGCUGCUUCUGGUCUGAUGUUUGUUCCAGCAAAGACAGGUAACUGCAACAGACAGUGGGUACUGAGAAUGCGGUCACUGCGGUGAGGAAUGUGGAAGGAUUUGGUGCCUUGGAUGGAGAAGUCUUGAAGUGCUAUAAAACAGAGCUUUAUGGGCUAUCCUGGUUUGCAAACUUUCCUGUCUCACACCUGGUGCUGGUUCUGGAAAAAAUGAAACAUCCAAGGAAGCAGGUCAUGAAGUGCAACACGAUUUUAUUUUGUGGAGAAGGCACCUGGGAAAAGUGAAGCAAGUUUGCCUACAAAGCCUAAGGAUGCAGAUUCGAUUAUCCAGUACCCACAUAAGCCAGAUGUACAAGGUGGUGCACGCGUCUGGAGUUCAUUUACAGUCGCUAGAGGCCCUGACGUGCCCAUUCUCUCCCUCCCUGUUUUUCUCACUAAUAAGUAAAUACAAUAAAAUAUUUUUUAAACUUACAACAGCAUGUAGAAUAUUCACAGUAUGGAGAACCACACACCAGUUCCCUUCAGAAACAUGUUGCUGACAUACUGAGAAAUAAUGCUUUUUCCAGUUCUACAGGUAAAUCUUAAUCCAGUCAAGCUGCACCCACACUUAACUGUCACUGCUCCCCAUCAGCUGUGGCCUGGAAGUUGUAAAGCAAGGGCUUAGGUGGUAUCCAAUAGUCAUUCACUGCUCUAUGCUGGGCAAAUCGUAGUAACGUGGCAUCUCUCUUCCAGGACUGCCAGCUAAGAGGUAGGUUUGGGGAGACUCACCCCUUCGCCGUGCCUUGGCGCCGCUGCUCUUCUGGGUCCCCCAGAGCUUCAAGCCAUCCUUCCCCAGCACCUCCUGGGGCCACGGCCGGAGAAGGCCGAGACUGUUGGGGACUGCAGCUGCAGAGUCUCUCUGAACACCAACCAGCAACCGACAGAGCUCCUGGAGGACACAUGGGAUGCUCCCCGCGGCCCCGCCCCAGGAAGACACGCCCCGGCCGCGGCCCCGCCCCAGGAAGACCACGCCCCAGCCGCGGCCCCGCCCCAGG